CCUACGGGUGGCUGCAGUGAGGAAUAUUGGUCAAUGGGCGUAAGCCUGAACCAGCCAAGCCGCGUGAGGGAUGAAGGUUCUAUGGAUCGUAAACCUCUUUUAUAGGGGAGUAAAGUGUGGGACGUGUCCCGUUUUGUAUGUACCUUAUGAAUAAGGAUCGGCUAACUCCGUGCCAGCAGCCGCGGUAAUACGGAGGAUCCGAGCGUUAUCCGGAUUUAUUGGGUUUAAAGGGUGCGUAGGCGGGCUUUUAAGUCAGCGGUGAAAGUCUGUGGCUCAACCAUAGAAUUGCCGUUGAAACUGGGAGGCUUGAGUGUGGUUGAGGCAGGCGGAAUGCGUGGUGUAGCGGUGAAAUGCUUAGAUAUAACGAAGAACCCCGAUUGCGAAGGCAGCUUGCCAGGCCGUGACUGACGCUGAUGCACGAAAGCGUGGGGAGCAAACAGGAUUAGAUACCCUGGUAGUC
rnacentral:rRNA from 1 species